rnacentral:rRNA from 1 species
AUUUAUUAAAAAUAAAAAAAAUUGGAAUACACGAAUUAGUUUGAUCUAAUUAAAUAUAUAUUUUAGUAUAUAGUUUAAAUGUUUCAAUAUUUAAUCAAUAUUUUUAAUUAGGGGUGAAAUACUAUACAAAUACUAGGAUAUCUUGAAGUAUAAUAAAAAUAUUAAGUAUUUUAAGACAACUAUAAAGUGAUUAGGCUUUAUAGAAUGCAUAAUUUAUAUUAAAUUUAAUUAUAUAAAAUAUAUAACUAUAGUUAUACAUAUAAAAUGAAUAUACAAUAUAUAUAUAUAUGGUAUAUUAUUAUAUUAUAGAUGAUAAUAAUUAUAUCUAGAUAUAAUGUAAAUAUUAGUAAUUUAAUAGAUUUUUUAGAGGAAUUCGGCAAAAUUUAGUUUUUCAACUGUUUACCAAAAACAUUGCUUUAUGUAUAAAAUAAUAUAAAGUUAAUCCUGCUCAAUGGAUUUCUAAAUAGCCGCAGUACAUUGACUGUGCAAAGGUAGCAUAAUAAAUUGGCUUAUAAUUGAAGUCUGGUAUGAAAGGGUUUUUGAAAAUAUACUGUCUUUAAUAUAAUAUUUGAAAUUAAUUAAAAAGUGAAAAUGCUUUUAUGAUAUUUAUUAGACGAGAAGACCCUAGAAAUUUUUAUAUAAUUAUUAUAAAAAUAUAAUAUUUAUUUUGUUGGGGCGACAUAGUAACACAUAAACUUACUUAAUAAUAUAAGAAAAUUUUGUAAAGAAUAAAUAAAUUACUCUAGGGAUAACAGCAUAAUAUACAAAAGUUUGUGACCUCGAUGUUGGACUAGGAAAUAUAAUGUUUAGAAGAUAUUAUACUAAGCUCUGUUCGAGCUAUAUACCCCUACAUGAUCUGAGUUCAGACCGG